CGCACGGGUGAGUAACACGUAUCCAACCUGCCGUCUACUCUUGGACAGCCUUCUGAAAGGAAGAUUAAUACAAGAUGGCAUCAUGAGUCCGCAUGUUCACAUGAUUAAAGGUAUUCCGGUAGACGAUGGGGAUGCGUUCCAUUAGGCAGUUGGUGGGGUAACGGCCCACCUAGUCUUCGAUGGAUAGGGGUUCUGAGAGGAAGGUCCCCCACAUUGGAACUGAGACACGGUCCAAACUCCUACGGGAGGCAGCAUG
rnacentral:rRNA from 1 species